AAGUAUAUCUUGUUCGCUGCGAUCGUCACUACAUCAGUCCUUAGGUUGUUCACCAUAUCGAGCCCUGUUUGGCUUAGAUAUGCUCACUCAUGGGACGGAUUAUAAGCUUCUGAAGGAUUUAGACUUGCUGGAAGAACCCGUUGUCCCGGUAGCUAGGUCAGACAAUUUAGCUCUAAUUCGAAAAGAUAUACAGGGCAAUAUUAAGAAAGCGUAUGAGCGCAACGUUGCUCAAUACAAUUUACGAGCCAAGCCUGUGUCGUUCCGAGAAGGUCAGGAAGUAUUUCACCGAAAUUUUUCCUUGAGCAAAUUCACGCAAAAUUUUAAUGCCAAAUUGGCUCCUAAAUUUCUGAAAUGUCGCGUGCGGAAAAAACUGGGUAAUUGUUUCUACCUCCUGGAAAAUCUGCAGGGCCGAGAAAUAGGAACCUUUCAUGCGAAAGACAUUCGAUCCUGAUUCCCGCUAAUAUUCCGUCUAACGGUGGCAUAUUAUCGGGUGGUGUAACGGUUGCGGUUGGACAAUACCGAUGCAAAAUAGGUUAUCGCUAUGGUGCUCGGAUAUCGCAUGCAAUAACCUUGGGCCAAUUAUCGCUGCAGGGCAUAGUAUAGUUGGGGUGGGUGCAAGCAAGCUCGAGGUAGGGAACAGCUGAGCUGAGCUGCCGUAAGUGCUGUGCAGCGCAUCGCAACUGAGCUUUCAAAGCCGAGCUUUAAGAUCGGUAAGCUCUUAUUUAAGCAGUGCAAAAGCACCAGAACGUUCUCUUUCGAAAAUUUGAAUCUGUGCAGCCGGUGGCUAUCUCCGCGUCGGUAGCAAAUAUAUAACUAAAUCGACCACUUGUAAGCCCAAAAGAAAAGAAAAGUAACCCAAAUAAGUGCCACAAAGACAAACCGAAAAGAAAUAAAACGGAACGGGGAAAAUCCCACACGGUGGGCGCGCCGCAAAAAUCGGUCGAAAAUUAAUAAUCGUGCGCCGAGAAAACUGGCAAGAAACUACCCUGGCGAAAAGUGCAUAUUUGCCUCGCCUCGCCAGCAAGUGUUGUUCUUGUUGCAAACCCGUGCGUCCCGCAGCUCUGCCAGGAGAACCCAACGCUCGUGUCUCCGUGGAAAAGUCCGAAAAACUGGGCCCUGGCCCCGAGCGGUAGCCACCCGGCUCUCCCCAAAGUUCUGCCCCACCCACACCAAACUCCCACCCUUGACGGGAGUACUCUUCGGAGUCGACCUUGGUGUGGGGCGGAGAUUUUUUGUCCCUUUUGGAGUCGUUGAAGCAUCCACCUGCCCGGCGACAUAACCUCCACCGGCCAUCACCCUGGCGCCAUAUCUAACGUACGCGCAUAGAGGGCAUAGAGGGCAUAGAGAUCACCCCCCCCUAUGCGCCGCUAACUCGCUGUCUGCGACGGCCUAGAAGACGCCGCCACGGAUCCGGACCCAGAUUUCGUAGCAUAGUGUAGUUUUAAUUGUAAUUUUUUUUGGUUCCUUCUGAGCACUUAUAUGACUAUGUAACUUUCCUUAACUCUGCGUCACAGUCCUACCUCGAUAGGCGGGAAUGUGAAAGUUCUCAAAGCGGAAUUUAUUUUUUCGGGUUGGGGACCGAAAAACUUAAUCAUAAAGUAACAGACUACAAAAAACAAAAAAAAA